rnacentral:pre_miRNA from 1 species
AAUUCAGCUGAAAAAGUCAUAAACAUAAAAGUUGUAGAACUCAUCAAGACAUACAUUUUUUAUUUUAGUUAUUUCUUCAUCCGUCAAAGUGAUAGUAUCAUUAUUCACAAAAUUUACAUAUCUCUCAUUAGAUAUGUAAAUUUUAUGAAUAAUGUUACUAUCACUUUAUCGGAUGUAGAAAUGACCAAAAUAAAAGUUAUAGAUCUUGAUGAGUUAUACAUUUUUGUUGUUGAUGACUUUUUCAGUUGAAAUC